GAGUCCCUGCAGAGUACGUGAUGAGUCAAUCAAACGCUUGAACCGUAAUUCUUACCCGGGUGCUCGGGUCUCAGCAGCCGCGUGCACGCCUUCGUCCCGCUAAGCGGGGCAUGAAGGUAGCCAAAACGGCUGGAGUAGAGCGCCCACCUGUUUUUUACGGGUUCAAGUAAGAAUUUACUCACACGGCUCAGGUGGGGUCUCC
rnacentral:other from 1 species